UUUGGCUUCCCAAAGUGCUGGGAUUACAGGCGUUUGAGCCACUGUGCCCGGCCAAAAUUUAACUUUUAAAGAACACUCAUUUAAGUUAAAGAAAGAUUACCACUGGCUCCCUACAUCAGAGUUUUAACCUGGGGUCCAAGACUUCAGGGUAUUUGUAACACCAUGAAAACAUAUGUGACAUUUUGUGUGUGUGUGUGUGUGUUUUUUUUUUCCCUGGGGAAAGUUUCUAACUCUCUCCGAUCCUAAAAGGUUAGAAACUAGUGCUUUAGAUAUGUUUCUUGCUUUUACGUUAAAUAAAUAAUCCUAUUCUUGGCUUGAGAGUCCCUUAAAAAUUUUUCUUCAUUUGCAUUUCACAGCUGAAUAUUUGAGUUCUUUGUUCUCACCUUAACAGCCUUCUCAUUAAAACCAAAAAAUAUUCUCCUCUAGCAAUUAAUCAUAAGGAAUUUAAAUUUUUUAUUUAAUUUUUAUUUUUUGACGUACCAAAAGACAGAAGGAGGCAGAGACUGAUGCCCCACAAUGAAAGUGACAGGCAGGGAGACAAGCAGCUAGAGACAGUGAGACACACAGGCACAGAUAAAAGGCCUAAGGACAGAGAGACUAGACAGGCAAAAGAAAUACAGAGAAACCUGGAAACACAGGAGAGACACAAGAACUGAGCAGACAGAGAAGAGGGAUGGCAGAAAAAUAGGCUGGCAGGGAGGGAAUGGAGACUGACAGAGAAGGCAGUCAAAAUCACCAAAAGGGAUGCAGACAGGCAAACAGAGAGAGAGAGAAGGGAAGACAGAUAAAGGAAGAAAAAAUAAGGUAAGAAGGAAGACAAAGUGAUAAUGGUGUUUUAUACAACAUAGUGCUUUAUAAUUUAUAAAGUGCUAUCACAUACAUUAUUGCAGGCAGACAGGGAGAAUCCAGCAGACAGAUGGGGUGAUGGAAGGAUACAGGCCAAUCAGACAGAAGAGAGGGGAGAGGGCCAAUCAGAAAAAGAGGCUAGAAUAGAGACCAAGACAGACAGAUAAGAAGAACGAACCAAGAAAAGAGAAGUAAGAGAGGGAAAGAGGGAAAGAGUGGAGAGACACAAAGAUAGAGGCUGAAACAGUUAAACUCAGGAAAACAGGCAGUAAAAAAGCAGAAAUGAAAGAACAGUGCAUUGUGUGUACAAGUUUUAUUAUCAUCUUUUUCAACGAGACCUGGUUAGAGGCUGUGUCUUUGUCUCCUUCAAAGAGUUAUAAAAUGUCUCUAAGGUGGCACGUGAGUGGAGCCAGAAGGCUGGAUGAAAAAGGAAAAAAGUUUUAAUCAGGAUAAAGCUUUUUAGACUGGGAGGAAGACAAACUUCUUAGGCCUAGGUCAACAACCUAAAGGAUCUUAGAUUCACAUGACCUUACAUAAUUCAUACAGACUAAGUGAGAAAAGCAGGGCAGUCCUCUCUCUACUCUGUGUGCAUGUAAGCUCAGCUUACUGUUACUUAUUAACUGUGCCUAUACGUAUAUGGUACUUUUUAGUACUACCGGUGCUUUCAUGCCUUCUCCAAUACAUAUUUCAGUGAUGAAGGGACCAACAAAGCUGUCUUGCUGUCAUCAGACCACUUACCAUGCAGAGCAGACUACAUUUGGAGAGAGUAAAGCCUUCCUGAGCACUCCUCAGGUACUGGUAGUGAACGCAUGCAACCAGCAACUAGUCAAUCCAAAAGACAAGUGCUUUGGGUAGCACUUGGCAGAAUCCAAAAGACCAGAGAUGGCAAGCCCAGCCAAGUUAGUUAGGAGUACUGACAGACUGACAGAGGAAGGAGCAUCCAGAAAAACUGGAAGAAAAGUAGGGAGGAGUACAGCAAAACACAAGCAAAAGCAAGCAAGCAAAAAGACUUGUGUGUGUGUAGACUCUUCUCUGGAGCAGUAUCCAGGAAAUGUCAAACAGUGGCUGCUGCUGGGGAGAAGAACUUGGAGACUAUGGGAGAAGGAUGGGAGAGAGGCUUACUUUUCACAGUACACUUUCUGUACUUUUAAAAUGUUGUACCGUAAGUAUGUACUACCUAUUUAGAAGUUAACUGGGAAAAAAGAAACAAAAGAAGAGAGAAAAGCAAGAAGAGAUGUGGACAGCAAGAGCCUGCCAAGCAGACAGCAAAAAGGCAGGAAGGCAGCGAGAGACUGGGAAAAUGGCAAAAAGACUGAGGCAGGCAGACUGUGUGAGGAACCAGAAAGGCAGAAAAAGAGAUAACUGAAAUAAAGGCAAACAUGAGAGAAGGCAGGGUAGGGGAUGUGGCAAGAAGUUAGAUAAGACUUUGAGGCAAAGGAGUUACUGAGAGGUUUAGGGUAGAGAGACUAUCCUCAUUGACGGAUGUUGGCAGAAAAGCAGCAAAGGAAGAAAAUGCUAGUAAGUACGAAGACUAAAGAGAAAAGCCUGAAACGGUGGGAUAGCAGCAAAUAGGGUAGACAGGCAAGAGAGAUCUAAAGGGAGGCAAGGGAAAAGGAGGAACUUAACAGGCACAAAUAAGAAAAGGAACAAGCAGAA